rnacentral:lncRNA from 1 species
CAGGUUCAAUUCCACCAAACGUUGGUGAAUGAUGGCCCAAUCAGCCUGUACUUCCUUGCUCUCCUGCUGCAAUGUCAUCGACUUCUUCUUUAUAAGAUUCUCCUCCAUCAGGAGCCGGCUGUGCAGGUUACUGUAAGGACACUCUGCAUGGUACAGGGGAUGAUGUCUGUCUGAGAGCCACUGUAGGUAGAUGAAUACAAGAUUAUUUGAUGUGAGAAUGCAAAGAGUGUAGACUGACCACAGAGAAGGAAAAAUGCCUGUAACCUAGUGACACCAUCAAGAGAUUGGUCCCAGCAUGAAAUUUCUUCUCAGUGGAUAUCAAUUCUAACAUCACUCUAGAGAUAUCAGGAGAUAUAAGCAGACAUAUGUUUCCUCUGUCUCCCUAAACAUAGAUAUGAUAACCAGAGAGAUGUCUUCUCCAGGAUGAUUAUCAACAGCACAAAGUACAACUUGGCUUCAGAACCUUGAGUUGAGACUUUACAAGUCAGAUGAUAGAUUCAACAUUCAAAAAUAUUUGAAAUUUUGGAGAUGCUCAGAUAUUCUACCUGUUACUCUAAGCCAAGGAAUUGGCUUAAAAAUCAUGCAGGGGGAGAACAUGGUCAACACAAUGAUCAAUUCCUCCCCCCCCCACCCCUGAAACACCAAACACCCCAGAAGUAGCAAUAGAAUCCCCCUCUCUCUGGGUGUAUCAACUGAUAGUUCUUUGUUUACAGCAUAGAAAUGCCUGCCAACCACAAUUGGUGAUAAAGAAAGGUAAGGUAGGAACUGUCACAAACAGGAGGUCAGCGUAAUUCUGAGAACAUGAGGUCAUGGUCUGGAGCACCAUUCUCUCCCUGUCACUAAUGUCAGAUAACUACAGGAGCUAAAAGGAGCCAUGGACUGAAGUGCAGGAUUUCCCUCCCCCAAACUGGCAUUGCUUAGACCCGCUGUCACUCCUGAUGGUCUCAUUCUGUCCCCAUGUAACACCCACAAUACCCAGUGCAAGUAAAGACUUGAAGUUC